rnacentral:tRNA from 1 species
UCUCUGAUGGUCUAGUGGCUAAGACUCUGUCCUCCAAUGCAGAGAGUCCAGGUUUGAUCCCUGAUCAGUGAA